rnacentral:rRNA from 1 species
UACGUAGGGGGCAAGCGUUGUCCGGAUUUACUGGGCGUAAAGAGCGCGUAGGCGGAAGUUUAAGCGGUGCUUGAAGCCCCGGCUCAACCGGGGAGGUGGUGCCGAACUGGACUUCUUGAGGGCGAUAGAGGAGAGUGGAAUUCCGGGUGUAGCGGUGAAAUGCGUAGAGAUCGGAGGAACACCAGUGGCGCAGGCGGCUCUCGUGGGUCGGCCCUGACGCUGAGGCGCGAAAGCGUGGGGAGCGAAC